rnacentral:rRNA from 1 species
UGAGCGUCAGUCUUUGUCCAGGGGGCCGCCUUCGCCACCGGUAUUCCUCCAGAUCUCUACGCAUUUCACCGCUACACCUGGAAUUCUACCCCCCUCUACAAGACUCUAGCCUGCCAGUUUCGAAUGCAGUUCCCAGGUUGAGCCCGGGGAUUUCACAUCCGACUUGACAGACCGCCUGCGUGCGCUUUACGCCCAGUAAUUCCGAUUAACGCUUGCACCCUCCGUAUUACCGCGGCUGCUGGCACGGAGUUAGCCGGUGCUUCUUCUGCGGGUAACGUCAAUUGCUGAGGUUAUUAACCUCAACACCUUCCUCCCCGCUGAAAGUACUUUACAACCCGAAGGCCUUCUUCAUACACGCGGCAUGGCUGCAUCAGGCUUGCGCCCAUUGUGCAAUAUUCCCCACUGCUGCCUCCCGUAGGAGUCUGGACCGUGUCUCAGUUCCAGUGUGGCUGGUCAUCCUCUCAGAUCAGCUAGGGAUCGUCGCCUAGGUGAGCCGUUACCCCACCUACUAGCUAAUCCCAUCUGGGCACAUCUGAUGGCAAGAGGCCCGAAGGUCCCCCUCUUUGGUCUUGCGACGUUAUGCGGUAUUAGCUACCGUUUCCAGUAGUUAUCCCCCUCCAUCAGGCAGUUUCCCAGACAUUACUCACCCGUCCGCCGCUCGCCGGCAAAGUAGCAAGCUACUUCCCGCUGCCGCUCGACUUGCAUGUGUUA